CAACUCAUUUCAUCAUUUCAUGUCCAUCUUAUCGCUUUGUUACCAGCGGGCCAAGCUUUUUUACGUGUCCACUCACCUCAAAAUACGCAAGACUUUUGUCAUUAAGGGUUGAAAAAUUACUUGUUCUCGUCCAGUUAACAAAUAUAGAAACGAGGGACGUUUCUUUUGCAGUUAACAAAUCUUAAUAAAGAAGCAUCAAUCACCCCAACUCAGAAUUCCGCUCCCGCGGCCCUCUCCCUUCCUCUCUCACUCACUCUCGUAUAAAACAGAUCAGGUUUUUCUCUGAUUUGCAGUUGGACUGUAAUUUGGGAUUCAAUACAGCCCAUGUUUGCUAGCGCGCAGAACGUAGACAGCUAUUGGAAAACUCCAAUCAUGGACUAAGAACGGUUGUUUGAUGAAGGACCAGGGGAUUACCUGCUUUAAGACAAUCAGACUGUUGGAUUGGAAAAAAUAUUGAGCGUGCUGAAAUGCGUGAUUAUAUCAUUAUCAAUUGCAAAAUUCCUUUCAGGUGUUAUUAACUUCCUCGGAGCAUUGAAGAUGAAAGAGUUUUGUUUUUCCUUGGAGUAGGACUUCUGAUUGAAAGAUAAACCCAAGGAUACUACUCUGAAGUUCCCAAGCAAA